rnacentral:misc_RNA from 1 species
AAUUUUCAAAAUCCUUUUCUUUGAUCGGAAUAGGACUUUUGGACUUGGAGGUUCAAUGCUCGCUUUCGCCUUUGAAAGUGGGCUCCUCUCAAAUAUAUUAGUGGGGUUCGCUUUGUCGAUCCUUGACGUGAUAAGAUGUUUCUACGUUUUGGAUCUGGCACUGUUUUAUGGAUGUCCGCUCCUAAUCGUCCCAUGGACAACGAUGGUGUUUCGGUCACCGCCGUCUACGGUUGGCGGGAGGCUGGACCCACAAAAAGAAA